rnacentral:lncRNA from 13 species
AAAUGAGACACCCAAGCAUGGCGCCGCUCGCCCCACCCACCCCCUGGAUUAACUGAGUGAAAUUAACCCACCCCCUGGAUUAACUGCGUGAAAUUAGAGUCUGUGCAUUGCAUCAUUCAAAUGCUGCCUGACCACUUGGACUCACAGUGCAGCCCGGACUUCACUGACUGUUAUAAACGGAUGCAUACGCUCUCCAAAGAAGACCUUCCUCGUCAUUAUGGAUCUCCUGAAAACAGUGAUCUACGCUUCUUUCCCAAUGCGACUUUGCCAUUGGAUGAAGCAAAAUGCCAAAUUCUUCAGUGGAACCCUAGGAAAUCACGGUGUUUUGUGAAAAACUCCUCAGUCUGUGGCAUGAACCUGGAGCACAGACAAGGACAGCUCCAGGCUGCUUUUCAAAUCCUCUGGAGAGGGAACGUCUGCAAGAGGAAGUCGCGGGGAAGAGCAGAGAGAGAAAGAUGUAAAUCAUGGUAACUUCAUAAAACGGAGUUUUCUUGUAAUAUUCUUUGGUAAUGUUGAGCUGAAAAUAGAUUUACAAUCAAAAGGGGCUUAAUCUGAUAUUAAAGAAUUCUCUUAAAAUCCCCCAAACAAUUGAGAUUUUUCCCCCCUUUGGUUUGUUUUGCAUUAGUUCCUCCAAGAGGCUGUGGAUGUAAAGAAAUAUACUGACUUUAAUUAAAGUGACGUUCGUGUUGCUUAGUGGGGGCAGUGUCAGCUCUGGAUUAUCAGCUGCAAAUAACCCUGCCUGGCUCGUGUAGAUGGAGCCUCGCUCCCGAAGCGAUGAGCCACUCCUAGCAGGACAAGAUGCACCAUGAGGUGGGGGCUUUUUGAUCACACCACACAGAGGGUAGAUGUUCCCAUAGCUAAUCCAUGUUUCCGAGUCAGAACCAGUGCAUUCAAAAAGAUUGAAAAUAGGCCAGGUGUGGUGGCUCAUACCUGUAAUCCCAACACUUUGGGAGGCUGAGGCAGGUGGAUCACCUGAGAUCAGGGGUUUAAGAUUAGCCUGGCCAACAUGGUGAAACCCAUUUCUAUUAAAUAUACAAAAAGUACCUGGGCAUGGUGGCACAUGCCUGUAGUCCCAGCUACUCAGGAGACUGAGGCAGUGGUAGAAUUGCUUGAACCCGGGAGGUGGAGGUUGCAGUGAGCGGAGAUCAUGCCACUGCACUCCAGCCUGGGUGACAGAGGGAGACUCCGUCUCAAAAUAAAUAAAUAAAUAAAAAUAAACA